rnacentral:rRNA from 1 species
UAGGGAAUCUUCGGCAAUGGGGGCAACCCUGACCGAGCAACGCCGCGUGAGUGAAGAAGGUUUUCGGAUCGUAAAGCUCUGUUAUAAGUCAAGAACGGGUGUGAGAGUGGAAAGUUCACACUGUGACGGUAGCUUACCAGAAAGGGACGGCUAACUACGUGCCAGCAGCCGCGGUAAUACGUAGNUCCCAGAGCGUUGUCCGGAUUUAUUGGGCGUAAAGCGAGCGCAGGCGGUUUGAUAAGUCCGAAGUUAAAGGCUGUGGCUCAACCAUAGUUCGCUUUGGAAACUGUCAAACUUGAGUGCAGAAGGGGAGAGUGGAAUUCCAUGUGUAGCGGUGAAAUGCGUAGAUAUAUGGAGGAACACCGGUGGCGAAAAGCGGCUCUCUGGUCUGUAACUGACGCUGAGGCUCGAAAGGCGUGGGGAGCGAACAGGAUUACGAUAC